UGAAGAAUAAAAGUGGAAAUGCUGCGCCGCUUCAAGACCCAAGCAACAAUGAAACAGGGAGAGUAUGUUUUAGUUACUUUGUGUUAGUGUAUUAAGUCACUGGGUGUGCAUGGACUAACACUGAUUUGUGAUUAUUUUUGUGUACCGAGUUGAAGGUGACCUACUCCUGCGACUUGUCUGCUUGUUUUGGAGAAUGCAAGAGCAGUUGGAGGAAAGAAGAUAAGGUUUACGAAGCAAGGGUGAAGAGCAACAAUUGUACAUAACCGGCACGAAGUAUCAACAGGAACAGCUUUUUCUCCCUUGAGGCAAGUUUGCAAAUAAUCAAUUGCAACGUCACUUCCGAUCGCCCUCGCAGUGGGUGGAGUAACCGCACGCUUCGGGGUGGAGUAGAUGGCGGAUCGGGUGAGAGGCGCCAAGAUGAAUUGGACCAGGGUAAUAAGGGCAUGCACAGACAAAUGAAGAAAUGACCAUCACAACUAAUAGCCCCCCCCUUCCCUGUGGAUGGGUUUGAAUUGCACAAAAACCCAGUAUUGGCAUCAAGAUUGAAGGGACGACCUGUGAUAUGGAAGUGCAUGGAGCUCAUUUUGAAGGAAAUCGGAGGUUGGAGGAGGAUGAGAUGUCUGGGUCAGGAGGCAAGAAAGAGAACCAGAAUGGGAGUGGAAGGGGAGAUGGAUGAAAGAGAAGAGCUCGGAAAGGAUGUGGAAUGGGAUGAGGAAAAGGAAGAAUUCCACACACAGAUAAGUUGUUUGUUCAUAUAUUGGCAGGGCGGAUGUAAAGUGUAAACGGGAGGGGGCAGAGUACGGAGCUUUGAGGUUUUUCUUGGUUGACGGUUGCUAUGGAAGGUAGUUCUGAUUGUAACGAGGGCAGGCAUGGAAAGUGUCGGGAGAGUUGAUGGUUGGACGUGGUGAUUUGGUUCAGUGGUUUGUGAAGGAAGGAAGGUUGAGAUGGUUGUUAGGCUUGUCUCUGUCCCGAGCAGCUCUUUGUUUUGGGUUGAUGUGUACAGUGUAGACUUUGAAUCACCUAUCAAGUUGAUGAAAACAAAAGUGAAAAUAUAUAUAUUUAUAUGUAUUUGUAUAUUUUUUUUUCCCAGGGUGAAGACCAACAAUUGUACACAACCGGCACGAAGUUCCAACAGGAAUGGCUUCUUUUCCCUUGAGUCAAGUUUGCAAAUCAAUUGCAACGUCACUUCCGAUCGCCCUCGCAGUGGGUGGAGUAACCGCACGCUUCGAAGGGACGACCUGUGAUAUGGAAGCGCAUGGAGCUCAUUCUGAAGGAAAUCGGAGGGUGAAGACCAACAAUUGUACACAACCGGCAUGCCGUUACAAGAUGAACAGCUUCUUCUCCCUUGAGGCA